rnacentral:lncRNA from 1 species
ACAGACACCGAAGGACCGUUGAAGGCCCACAGGAGCCUGGAAAAGGAAGGUGUUGCUGAGGUGGGGCCGUCUGCAUCAUCUGGGCAUCGGAGAGAAGCCAGUUGGCAGCAAACCGAACGUUGCUUUGGAAAUGAGUCUUCACGCACUUUUGAAUCUUUGUCUCUUUGGCUGACAGUCAGGAAAAGUCGCUUGAUUUCCCUGCUUCUUGCCUAGAAUCAGAGUAGGAUGGCCUACCCUAUCCAUGGGCAUUUUGAGUUCAAUUUGAAACUCAUGCGCAUGCCCUCUGCUGGCCGUUGGCGCGCAAUGACAUUAGCGUUGUACUCGUGCAGGAUUGGUUGUCAGCCCCCUUGGAAUCAUUGCUCAGAGAUUUAAAGAAAUCACUUAUCCCUGUCUGAAGGCAAAGGAAGAAAGGCACCAUCUGCCAGAGAGGACCAGACAUGAGUCUGAAGUGUGCUUUCUUCUCAUUUGACACGAUCUUCAGAAAAAUCACAGAGGACAUUCUAAACAUCUGCUAUCCUGAUUGCAGCUUGUCUGGCUUGAAAAGUCAUCUUGAGGCUCCUGUGGGCCUUCAACGGUCCUUCGGUGUCUGUUGGUCGAUCGGUCGGGUCGGUUGUCUGGAGGAAUCGUCUCAUAACUGGGGCCUGCCUGUGUUUUGUGAGCUCUGUCCACAGAGUUCUGCCAAGCAGGAGAAGGGUCCAGGGGUCACGGAAACCCUUAAGGAAAGCCGUUUGCACAGAAGAUGAGCAUUUUCUGUGAGUCAUGAGUACUGGAGGUGAGGAAGAUGUGAGCCACACACCACAAGGAAGGUGCCCUGGGCCAGGCACCAUCUUUGUGCCAGAAGAGAAGAGACACACCCACCAGAGCCAAGACAGAGCCACUACACUCUGUCCUUGAAGGGACAGCCAGAUGACUGCUCCCUAAAACCACACCCACUCUGUGCCUCCUUGACUCGUGCUGCUUUCUUUAUCUUACUGAAGUGUGCCCAGUGAAGGCAGGCUGAUGCUUUGGGUCGGCAGGAAUGGGACACUCCAGCUACCGUGGAUCUCCUACCGAAGGUGCUUCCCUCGGUCUGAGCGUGGCCUCAGUGGGAAGGCCUCACCACCACAGAAAGUGCCAUACUGAAGGCAUGCCGGAUCCUUGGCACCCAGUGUGUUUCUGGACCUGUGCCCUUCAGCCCAGGACCCUGUGCUCACUGGCUACUUGUUCACAUGACACUGGAAACCUGUGCCCUUUGUAGAUGCCCUCUCUGUUGGUGUGAGAUGGUGGGGACAUGGGUCCCACUCAUGGUCUGGUAAUGUGUUCCUACCCGGGAAGGGAGAGUCCACAGCAGUGUCUGGUAGGGUACCUGCAUACCACGUGUGACUGUGUUGAGGUUCCUUGCUCAUGGCUAUGAUGUCAUUACUCCUCCUCCUCCCCCUUCUCCUUCUCUUCCUCCCCCUUCUCCUUCUCUUCAUCCCCCUCCCCCUCCCCCUCCUCCUCCUCCUCCUCCUCCUCCUCCCUCUCCUCUUCCUCCUCUCCCUCCCUCUCCUCUUCCUCUUCCUCGUCGUCCUCCUGGUUUGGAGUUAACAUCCUUGCUGUCUUCCCAAGACUACUUAGCCCUCCUGUUGGAAAGGCAAGAAAAGCAAAGGCUCCCUGAAGGUCCUCUCUCUCGUUCUCGGCAGCACCUGAUUGGCUGACUUCACCUGAAAGCCACUGCUCUGGUUCUCUCACCCUCCUGAGGAGUGGCCCUGUAUUCUCUUGGGUCUGGAGAGGGUGUGCUUCCUGUUGAACGACCAUGGAGCCCACUCUGUGGCCAUGGAGCCUGCUGAGGAGUCAGAGCCAGGCCUUUCCACCAAACACCACAGAGCCAGAAUCCUCCUCUCUCCUGUCCUGGUGGACACCAGGCACAGGGAGAGGCGAGGCCUGGAGGAUGUGUGGAGCUGGUUGUGCCCUAGGCAGGAUGCCCAAAGCCCAGUAGACCCUGGGGAUCAGGGCCUGCCUGCCACCAAUGGCCCCUUUGCCAUAGUGAGUGCUACUGAAGCUUAGGUUGUAAAUGUCACCUCAUGCUCAAAUGCUCCUCCCAUCCCAGGAGGUAAGGAGCUGUGUCUCUUUCCCCACCUGGAAGGUAUUGGGAAGUUCCUAAGAGAGCAGCCCUCACCCGUGGCUCCUGUGCCUGGCUCACCUGGGACCUAACGUUCUGAGGAAAUAGGUGUAUUCUGCUCUGUCUAGGUCGUAGUCUCUGGUCUUUGGUUCAUUGUCCUGUGAUACAAUUUCUAAGGGCUGUUUAGUAAUUCUUUUGUUCUUCUGGGAGAUAGCAAGAAACGGGGAGCAGUGUUAAUAACCGGGCCUCUGAGCAGGUGCAGUGAAGGAGCCCAGAAAUGGGUAUGUGUGGAAUGCCAGGAAGCCUCCCUCCCCAUCCAGGUCAGGGGGCAGUGGUCGGGCCAGGCCCCUGGAAAGCUGUGGUGCAGGCCUUGCAGGCUGGGACCUGCAGCAGGUCCUCCUGCUGACUGAGGACUGCAGCCAGCUCAUGGAUGUUAGAUGGGCGGGGGAACUGGACUGCCUCACAUCCUUUGUAGGUUUUCCAAUGCCUCGCCCUGUGAUGUGUCAUGCUGCUGCCGCACAACCUGGCUUCAGAGGUACCAGGGAGCAGGAUGAUGCUGGGAUGGUAAAGGAGAGCAUCUCUGCAGGCAAACAGGGACUCCACUGCUGACCCCAGCCUCUGACUCCCUUCACCUUGCUGCCAGGGCUAUGUCUGAGUGCCCACACUUUGGACAGCCCCUGGAAUAUCUGGCUGGGCUCAUUUUGCCUCUGCUUAGCCCCCCUCCCACACACACACAUCCACUCCCCACAUCAGUGUGAAGAGCCUGACACACUUCUGUCUCUCUAGUUUCUAAUCCACUGCCCUUCCUGGUUUCCUUUGAUGGAGGCAUAGGUAAACCUGGGCUGUAUACCCAGUUGCUGAGUGCUCACUUAGGCAAGGAGAUUCUUAAACUCAGACAGGAGGACCUGGUGGCAAGGAUGGUGGUGCCUUCACAUAUUGCCUUUGUCCCGAUUGUCUUGGCAUCUUGGCAUUUAUGACCUUGUUAUGACCUUCAUCUUGCUGGUAACAGCACUGGUCCUUGUAGACUCCUUGACUUUCAGAUUGUGACUUCUUCCCCUUCCUGACAGGAUCUGUGGUGGGCGUGGUACAGGGGUGGGCUGGAGAUGGGGCAGCAGACAUACCUACCCCUUCCUGUGUGCUCAGGGGAACUUGGCUUUGUGGUCCCUGCCUGGGCCUUGCAUCUAUCCUUGUGCAGCUGUGUUCCUUGCAUUGGCCGCAGCAAAGCCCUGUCUUGGUUGUCAGAAACUGUGAUGUGCUGUGUGAUGUGACUGGCUGGCACUCUUGAGUCACAUUGGUCCUCCAUAGACAGAGCUCUGUUCCAGGGUCACCGUGCACUGUGGCCUAGACCUCCUUGCCCUUCCUCACUGUCAGGAGUGAAGCUGAUGAAGUACAGAUCACAAUGGGUUCACUCCCAGGAUCCUCUGCCCUCCCUUGGCUGGCAGCCUCCUUCCCUCUUGGUCUCUAUGAAGUCUCCUGUGGUCCUCUCUGGGGUUGCUGAUUGAUUCUUCUCUUUUUUUCACUCUUCUCCCAUGUGGAGGGACUUGGAGAAUCUCUGAGCACCAUGGAGCCAGCAGCCCCUCACAUAGCCAGUUGUCCCCUGGCCUCCUUGUUCCCUGGGAUAGGCAGGCAUUCCUGCCCUGCUGGAUCCUGAAAGUGGGUGUUUGCCAGGUGAGGAUGUGCGUCCUGAUAACUGCUUCAACAGAAAAGAUGAGUCCCUGAUAAAUAAGCAGUCAUUGAUUGAAAAUAGCUCUGGACUUGGGAAGUCCAAGGCCAAAGUCCUGACAGAUGGAUCACCUGGUGCGAGCCCAGAGCUCCUGAACAGCACCUUAGAGCUGAGUUCCAUAGGCAGAGGUUAACAGAGCCACCCCUGACCACGUUCUUCAGGACACUAGUCACAUUCAUGAAGGGGUUUCUGUGAGUGUGUGUGUGUGUGUGUGUGUGUGUGUGUGUGUGUGUGUGUGUGUGUGCGCGUGCGUGUGUGUUCACGCUCGCGCACUCGCAAGGGCGUGCGUGCAUGAGUGAGUAUCUUUUGGCUCAUCUACACAACCUUGUUCCUUUUCUCACAGUGGAAAUUAGGUUGUAACAUAUGAAUUUUGAGGGACACCAACUGAAACUCAAAAUGAAAGGGUUCCAGGUUGUGUCUGUGGCCUCUGAACAGAGGGGCAAAGGCCAGGGGUGGGAAGGGGGAUGGUCCCUGAUUAGUGGGAUCCUGGCUUAUGUGGAAUGGGUGACCAGGACCUCGGGCACUGGACAGGGUGCUGUGGAGCAGGCCUGACAGCACUGAAAGCCAUUUCCCCUGUCUUAGUGGAUGAUAGUGCAGGGUGGGGUAGGGCAGACUCCCUUUCUGCCUCAGCAGGACACAGCUUCAGCUCUGUCAGCCUCUCAGAUCUUAGCUCUGUCUGUAACUGUUCCUCCAUUCACUUUCCAAAGAAGUUCUGCAGCUCCCUCUAGAUAGGAGCUUAUCAGAGUCACUCUCCUACCUUCCUGGUCCAUGGGGCACAGGCCCAGAGGUCCUGAUGUUCCCUUCACCCUCCCAGGUGGCUGUCCUUGUCCUUCCUACCGGUUCUUGCCUUUGCCAGGCUUCUUCAGGAGCUGGAGGUGCUUAGGGGCAGACAGGGAGGGGACAGUGACAUUGGCAACUCUUUAGGCAAUGUUUGCAAUGUGCCUCCUGGGGCCUCUCCAGGUAGCUCUUCACUGGAGGUCAGGCCAUUCCUCAGGGCUGAGUCAGGAGCGUAGCUUUCACCACCAGCAUUGCCUCCCGAGGCCUGUGCACAUGUGAGCCUGGUCUCUGUGGUGCCCAGUUUGCUUCUGUCUUUGUCUACUUCACCCUAUCUCUUUCUCUGAGGACAUUUUCUUGGUUUCUCUGAGUUCCAACAUUCCUUCAGACAGUCUGUGGAGGAAAGAAGAGGAAAGACUGUGUCCCUUCUCCGUUGAGUUUUGCCUUGGCUUCCCUUGGUGUCUGGUUCUUGUCAACCUGCUUGGCCAACUGGAAGUUACCAACUUCUGUCCCAUGUCAGACCAUAGAGGCCUACUGCUCACCAUAGAAAAGAGAAAGUGCUAGAGACAUGGCUUGGAGAUUAACUUUUUCCAUUCUCCACAGGACCAGAUCUCAGAUCCUCACACCCCUGUCACAUGCCCAGCUUUCCUGCCAACUCCUGCAAACCCAUCUGUGGAGGGAUGGAGACAGGAGGUUAUCUGGGACUUGCCUGCUGUUAGCUUUGUGGAAUUGUGAAACCAGAGCUCAGGAAGAAACCCUGCCCUAAGGGACUCUGCAGAAGGACAGAGGAGGGUAUUUUUUUACCUUCCUUAGGAUCUGCGAGCGACCAGGUCAGCCCAGGGUAUACACAAGAAGUCUAGUAAAGGAAGUGAGAAAAGCCAAUGGCUCAGUAACCCCACGGGAGCAAUCCUUCCCCUCCACCCUCAUAUGUCUCUUUUUGUUCUUGAGUGAGCAAGAAAAGCAUCAAGUUCUUCUCCCUGGAGCUUCAGUCAUUUGUGAGAACUCCUAAGUCCACAAAUCUGGGCCUGUGAUCUGAAAGUCACCCUGUGCCCAUUUGCCCAACUGGACCUCCACCUCCUUAUAUCAGUGUUGAGAUGGGAAGUUUCCCGCACACAGACCUGUACUCUCCAGGAUCCUCACAGCUAAAUAUUUCUGUGCUCCCUCCCUGUAAGCUAAAUAUUCACUGAUCCUCCUUUUUCCUAGGAUAGUCCUCCCUGGAGUUCACCUGAUCUCACAGGUGCCUUAGUAUUUAUCCAGAGUUUCUUUUGUGUUCCUAAAGUGCUAGUUUAAAAUACAUGUUUGCAAAACUGAACACACUAUCAUACAUUCACAAUAUGUUAGAACUGGCAGAAAGUAGUCUCAAACCUUAGGCAAUGGGGUUGUCAUGUUCAUGUCAUGACCUGGUCCUACAGAAAUUUAGAAGCCUCUAGAGCCUCCUGUAGUCAUUGGGACUGCUUUCUGUGGUAUACCUGUGUCCUGAGGCUCCCACCAAGCCUGUGGGCGUGUUAUCUUUUCAGUCUGAUUGUCUGCUCCUGUGGUGUGUUUGAGUGUGGAGGUGCUGAGCAUACCUUCCAAUCUCUACACAGCAUCAUGUGCAGCCUCUUCCUGUGCUGUUUUCACUCUGCCUUCUAACUCUUGGCUCCGCAUGUUUUCCUGAUAGGGCUCACUGGACUUUUGACAGAGUGCCUAGCAUCCAAAGGUAGAGUCAGGGGUCUUGUCUUGUUAUCCUUUUGACAGAGGAGAGGAAGAAGGGCCAGCCUAUCUGGGUUCAUGCAGUGUAGUCUCUUUCCUUCAUUGGGCUCAGGGGACCUUUUGACUGUGUGCAAGGGCUGGGCUAAACAGUAGAAGCUUGUGGGUCCCAACUCUCAGUUGCAUAUUGAAAUGUUCUGGAACCUCGGUCUUUUAAAUUUUAAAUUUCAGAUUCAUGUGUCCACAUAUCUGCAAUGUGUUUUCUAAUUUGUCAUACAUGUAUGUCUCCCAGUUGCAAAAUUAAUGUGUAUUAAAAAUUAUAAUCCUA